CAUCUUGCGCUUCAUGCGUGAAACUCACUAUCCUAUCCUCCUGAACUGGUUCCAAUCUCACACUUCUCCUCCAGUUGCUAUUAUAUCUGAUUUCUUUCUCGGCUGGACCUACCACCUCGCUUCUCAACUCGGCUUGCCACGUAUCGUUUUCUCUCCUUCAGGGGCUUUUGCUUUCUCUGUUGGCGCCUCUACCUGGUCCGACCAGCCACAGAACGACAACCCUGAAAAUCACGAUUUUGUUGUGUCGUUUCCUAAUAUUCCCAAUUCCCCAUCUUACCCCUGGUGGCAAAUCUCUCACUUAUACAGGAUGCCUAAGGAUUCAGAUUGGGAGUUUUAUAGAGAUUCCAAUUUGGCUAACAUGGCGAGCUGGGGUGUCAUUUUCAACUCGUUCACUGAGUUAGAAAGAGUUUACAUUGAUCACAUGAAAAAUGAAUUUGGAAAUGUCCGCGUGUGGGCUGUUGGUCCAGCUCUGCCAUCCGAUGAUGAUUUAAUGGGACCCGCUGCUAAUCGUGGCGGGACCAGCUCCGUGCCAUGUCAUGAUGUGCUGACAUGGCUUGACUCUCAUCAUAAAGAUCACUCAGUCGUCUAUGUUGCUUUCGGAAGCCGUGCUAUGCUGACGUGUGAGCAAAUGAAUGAGCUGGCUGCUGGAUUAGAGAAAAGCGGAGUGGAUUUUAUACUGUGUGUAAGGCAACAAGGUGACUACGGUAUUCUGCCUGAUGGAUUCGAAGAUCGUGUGGCUGGGAGAGGUUUUAUUAUUAAAGGAUGGGCUCCGCAGAUGGCUAUCCUAAGGCACCGCGCAAUCGGCGCGUUUUUGACGCACUGCGGGUGGAACUCGGUGCUUGAAGGUAUAUCAGCAGGAGUAGUGAUGCUGACGUGGCCAAUGGGCGCUGACCAAUUUACAAAUGCACAGUUAUUAGUUGGUGAGUUGGAAGUAGGGAUGCGAGUUGGUGAAGCAACUCAAAAGAUACCCGAGUCAGGUGAGCUGGCAAGGAUAUUGAGCGAGUCGGUUGAGGAAAAUCGUCGGGAGAGAGUGAGAGCCAAGAAGCUGAAAGAGGCAGCGAGGAGUGCUGUGAAAGGAGGGAGCUCAGAAGCAGAUUUGGAUAGGCUAAUUAAGAGGUUGAACGAGCUUAAACUUGAAAAUGGCGGUGGGCUUAUGAUCAGCUCAAAUGGAGUGAAGAUAGAGAAAUAUGACACACAUAUAUCAUAAUUAAAAGCUUUAUAUACAUAUAACAGGGAUUGGUGUCAUGAUGCGUUGUAGCAGACUGGAGCAUAUGGAUUCUUAUUCAACUUUAUAUAUAUAUUGAAGAUCACACGCAUAUAUCUAUAUAUAUAUAGUUACCGGAGAAUUUGUUCGUCUCCCACCCAUUAAAGUUGAGAGGAGGAAGAAGAAACAGAAAGGAUGUCACAGAAGUCUUUGCAUCUGUAGGAUGGAAUUUCAUUAAACUGAUCUUAAAUGAAAGUAAAGUUUCUGAAUUUCUUUUUAAGAAUUCGUAUAUUCUUUUCUAUUUGUUGUGAACUAUAUUUAGAAAGUUUAAAAACCCAUAAUCCCUAAAUUAUUGUGCAUUUAAUGUUCAUAAUUGUUAUUAUUUUGACAAAACGAAAUGUCAAUAUUUCUUAAUAAAGUGCUCUUUCUUUUUUCCCUUGCGUACAUAAUUAAUUCUUGUUACAAACAUAUUAAUAAUAAUGAUCUCAUUAUUAUCUAUAUUUAUAAAAAAAAAUAUUAAAUGAGGUGGUAUAUAAUAAUUCUUACAAUAUUAUUUUAUUGAUAGAAAAAUAAUUUAAAAAAAACAUUAUAAAUCAGGUCAGAGGAACAAUUAAAUUAAAUCGGCUACACAGCAUUAUUGAAUCUUAUAUACAAAGGUAUUUUGUCGCCAUGUUUAUUGAAUCUUAUCAUCUUUUAUUAUUAUUAUUUGUUCUUAAACCAUUUUCAGGUAAUUAAACACAAAAUUAACUAUAAUUUGCAAUUUUGUAUGCCCUUCAUAUUAGUAGUGAAAAUAACAAAGUAGAACUUCGUUUGCACUUAAUCAAGGUGUCAUUUGUCCUCUCUUUUCAAGACACGUGUUUUUAUGCAGGAAAUAUAUUUGAUCCCAUCAUUUUUCCUGCUCUAACCAUAUUAAAUCGUGAUGCUCAUUUUGCGCAGAGGUAAUCACGAUUUGGUUUUUGAGAUUUUUUUUAAUAUUAUUCUAAUAAAAAAUUCAUUUUUAAACAUUGUAUUAAUUUCUCUUUAUUUUAUAAUAUCUGUUAAUUUAUUUAUCAAUUUUAUUGUUAAAUUAAAUGAAAAAGUAAAAAUAUCCAUCAAUUAAUUAGUAUUUUAUAGUACACUAAUUUUCUCCUAUAAUAUAUUCCUCCCUCCUCUAUUAAUUUUAGCUUAAACAUCGGGUCAUAGCUCGGUGAUUAUAGAAACUAGUAGCAGUGACAUUCAUAUUCUGAAGGACAAAUAUUAAAACUAACUCUAUAAUGAUUCUUAGGAAAAAGAGUUACCUGAGAUGAUAAAAUGGACUUGGGCUAGGCCCAUGAAUCAAUUUAAAUCCCUUUGUUUUUCCUGAAAAUGCGGCGCACUUCACACCCUCGGAGCACCUCCGCAUCUCGGACCUUUUACAAAAUAGCAAACGUCAGUCAUGACGUAUAGCUACUAGCUAAUCAGAAUAGCUUUUGUUCCCAUUCCAAUAUAUAAUCAACUUCUCCGCCCUCCUUCUUUAACUACACUUGUCCAAGCAUCCAUUUUUAAAACACUAACCAAGCAGCAAAUAGUUUAUUAUCUGUUUACUUAGAGCCAUGUUCACCACCUCCCAACAAGGUGGCGCACACAUCUUAGUCUUCCCAUUCUCAAGUUCCGGUCACGUUAUCCCCCUCUUAGACCUAACCCGCAGCCUCCUCAACCGUGGCUUGGUAAUUACAGUUGUCAUCACCACUGACAACCUCCCUUUACUCAACCCUCUCCUUUCCUCUCACUCCCCAACCCAACUACACCACUUAGUCCUUCCUUCCCCGGAUAUCGACGAUGCCUCUUCUACUACACACCCCCUUAUUGCUAAACUACGCUCAAUGCAUGCCCACUAUCCCUUCCUCUUAAACUGGUUCAAGUCCCACGCUUCUCCUCCUCUUGCUAUUAUCUCCGACUUCUUUCUUGGCUGGACUCAUCACCUCGCUUCUCAACUCGGCCUGCCACGUGUCGUCUUCUCACCCUCUGGUGCCUCUGCGUUUUCUGUUUUAACUUCUAUCUGGCAUGACCAGCCACAAAACG
rnacentral:lncRNA from 1 species